rnacentral:misc_RNA from 1 species
AAGCAAUCCAUCUUGUCUUCUUUCCUUUCCAUUUCUGUCUGGGCACUCCAAUGUAAGCAUGUCAAGAAAUACAAAUCUGUGAUUCUUCCUAUGCACAGUUAAGUUGCAACCCAUCUUUCGGAGAAUCCGUUCAUAGUGAGAGAAAGGGUGGGAAAAGGCAAUGAAAAUGACAACAUCAGAAGAGUCAGGGUGGAGAGAGCGCUUAAGGAAAUGAUAGAGCACAAAGGCACCACUCGUCUCAACACAAUCCUCCACCGCCACAACUCGCCCGCCUUUGUUAAUACCAACCGCUUCCUCCAGCAGGUUUGCACGCGAAUUAUCCAUACCUGAAGAACUCUCCAAGGAGUUUUAGUAAAAAAAUUCCCUCUUCUUCUUCGAACGCGUUGAGAAGACGACUUCACCUCUUCUCCUUUGAACGCGUCUGGUUCGCG